rnacentral:rRNA from 1 species
AUUGAACGCUGGCGGCAUGCCUUACACAUGCAAGUCGAACGGCAGCACGGGGCAACCUGGUGGCGAGUGGCGAACGGGUGAGUAAUGCAUCGGAACGUAUCUUUCAGUGGGGGAUAACGUAGCGAAAGUUACGCUAAUACCGCAUAUUCUGUGAGCAGGAAAGCAGGGGAUCGCAAGACCUUGCGCUGAUUGAGCGGCCGAUGUCAGAUUAGCUAGUUGGUGAGGUAAAGGCUCACCAAGGCGACGAUCUGUAGCGGGUCUGAGAGGAUGACCCGCCACACUGGAACUGAGACACGGUCCAGACUCCUACGGGAGGCAGCAGUGGGGAAUUUUGGACAAUGGGGGCAACCCUGAUCCAGCCAUGCCGCGUGAGUGAGGAAGGCCUUCGGGUUGUAAAGCUCUUUCGGCCGGGAAGAAAUCGCACGGGCUAAUACCCUGUGUGGAUGACGGUACCGGAAUAAGAAGCACCGGCUAACUACGUGCCAGCAGCCGCAGUAAGAC